UACGUAGGGUGCGAGCGUUGUCCGGAAUUACUGGGCGUAAAGAGCUCGUAGGUGGUUUGUCGCGUUGUUCGUGAAAUCUCACGGCUUAACUGUGAGCGUGCGGGCGAUACGGGCAGACUAGAGUACUGCAGGGGAGACUGGAAUUCCUGGUGUAGCGGUGGAAUGCGCAGAUAUCAGGAGGAACACCGGUGGCGAAGGCGGGUCUCUGGGCAGUAACUGACGCUGAGACGCGAAAGCGUGGGGAGCAAACAGG
rnacentral:rRNA from 1 species